rnacentral:rRNA from 1 species
GUGUUGUUGGGUAGGGGAGCGUUCUGUAAGCCUGUGAAGGUGUACUGUGAGGUAUGCUGGAGGUAUCAGAAGUGCGAAUGCUGACAUAAGUAACGAUAAAGCGGGUGAAAAGCCCGCUCGCCGGAAGACCAAGGGUUCCUGUCCAACGUUAAUCGGGGCAGGGUGAGUCGACCCCUAAGGCGAGGCCGAAAGGCGUAGUCGAUGGGAAACAGGUUAAUAUUCCUGUACUUGGUGUUACUGCGAAGGGGGGACGGAGAAGGCUAUGUUGGCCGGGCGACGGUUGUCCCGGUUUAAGCGUGUAGGCUGGUUUUCCAGGCAAAUCCGGAAAAUCAAGGCUGAGGCGUGAUGACGAGGCACUACGGUGCUGAAGCAACAAAUGCCCUGCUUCCAGGAAAAGCCUCUAAGCAUCAGGUAACAUCAAAUCGUACCCCAAACCGACACAGGUGGUCAGGUAGAGAAUACCAAGGCGCUUGAGAGAACUCGGGUGAAGGAACUAGGCAAAAUGGUGCCGUAACUUCGGGAGAAGGCACGCUGAUAUGUAGGUGAAGCGACUUGCUCGUGGAGCUGAAAUCAGUCGAAGAUACCAGCUGGCUGCAACUGUUUAUUAAAAACACAGCACUGUGCAAACACGAAAGUGGACGUAUACGGUGUGACGCCUGCCCGGUGCCGGAAGGUUAAUUGAUGGGGUUAGCGGUAACGCGAAGCUCUUGAUCGAAGCCCCGGUAAACGGCGGCCGUAACUAUAACGGUCCUAAGGUAGCGAAAUUCCUUGUCGGGUAAGUUCCGACCUGCACGAAUGGCGUAAUGAUGGCCAGGCUGUCUCCACCCGAGACUCAGUGAAAUUGAACUCGCUGUGAAGAUGCAGUGUACCCGCGGCAAGACGGAAAGACCCCGUGAACCUUUACUAUAGCUUGACACUGAACAUUGAGCCUUGAUGUGUAGGAUAGGUGGGAGGCUUUGAAGUGUGGACGCCAGUCUGCAUGGAGCCGACCUUGAAAUACCACCCUUUAAUGUUUGAUGUUCUAACGUUGGCCCCUGAUCGGGGUUGCGGACAGUGUCUGGUGGGUAGUUUGACUGGGGCGGUCUCCUCCUAAAGAGUAACGGAGGAGCACGAAGGUUGGCUAAUCCUGGUCGGACAUCAGGAGGUUAGUGCAAUGGCAUAAGCCAGCUUGACUGCGAGCGUGACGGCGCGAGCAGGUGCGAAAGCAGGUCAUAGUGAUCCGGUGGUUCUGAAUGGAAGGGCCAUCGCUCAACGGAUAAAAGGUACUCCGGGGAUAACAGGCUGAUACCGCCCAAGAGUUCAUAUCGACGGCGGUGUUUGGCACCUCGAUGUCGGCUCAUCACAUCCUGGGGCUGAAGUAGGUCCCAAGGGUAUGGCUGUUCGCCAUUUAAAGUGGUACGCGAGCUGGGUUUAGAACGUCGUGAGACAGUUCGGUCCCUAUCUGCCGUGGGCGAUGGAGAACUGAGGGGGGCUGCUCCUAGUACGAGAGGACCGGAGUGGACGCAUCACUGGUGUUCGGGUUGUCAUGCCAAUGGCACUGCCCGGUAGCUAAAUGCGGAAGAGAUAAGUGCUGAAAGCAUCUAAGCACGAAACUUGCCCCGAGAUGAGUUCUCCCUGAGACUUUAAGUCUCCUGAAGGAACGUUGAAGACGACGACGUUGAUAGGCCGGGUGUGUAAGCGCAGCGAUGCGUUGAGCUAACCGGUACUAAUGAACCGUGAGGCUUAACCUUACAACGCCGAAG